CGGAGAUGGAAUUCACACGGCCUCGUGAGCGUCGAUCUGUGCAGGCCCCUGCAUGUCCGCGCCGGGCUCGUUUGGUGCCGAGAAGAUGACCUCCACGGAGAAGGCCUCCAGAACAGGAGGAGAACAUACAAAUGCCACACAGUAAGGCGUCCGAGUCAGGAAUCGAACCCAGGAACGUCUCGCCAUGGUGCUGUGUGGGAGGGGGUUGUGCGUCUCACGCUCAGGGCUACCUGGGCUCCCUCAAACUCGUCGCUGUCGACCAGCCAGGGAAAGGAUCGCCCGUGUAGGCCCACGCAGGCCGCCGGGGCGAGUGCUCGCGAGCGAGUCGCGGCUUAAGAAGGCUCGGCGCGGCGCACCGGUGGAGCGGCGGGGAGACGUGGCGGCGAGGAGUUUGGACCACGCCGCGGGGACACUCACGCAAGCGACGGGACGUUGUGGUCGUCGAUGAAGAUGCGGUCCACGCGGUAGUGGAAGUAUUUGGCGUCGUAGCCCUUCUCACCUGUGGGCGUUGGCAAUGCUCGUUACCACCACCAUCACCACCACCACCACCGCCGCUACCACGAUAACCACCUAGCCAUCAGCCAAAACCUCAACAGUGCACAUCACGAUUCGACACAAACGAGUGCCCAUCCCCAUUCUGCUGUCACCAUCCUAGACGCUCACCCAGAUCUGGAGGAAUGCUGCUGCUGCUGCCGAACAGAAUGGAACAAACCGCAGACGUACAGCUAAAACAGCUCGUUCGAGACCCAAACAUCAUCACACAUUCUCUGACGUCCCUCCUCCCUCCUCCUCCUCCUCCUCCCCAAAGACAAUCAAUGUGGCCAUCAGCCACAUUAGAACAUCAAUGGGCCAAUGCGCACAUCAUUGCGACGUAUCAUUGCGGUCGCAUCACGCAGGCGAUGAACUCGCUGUGUUGAUCCGCGGGGGGGGGGGGGCGGGGUUAGGUGUGGGUUGAUGAUGCUCUGUGUGUGGCUGUGUUCCCGGAAGCAGCCGAGUGACUUACUGCAUAGGUUGUAGACUUUGUAGUGGUCCAUGUGUUUUGAAUUCAAGAACCGCUGCACUUCCUACGAUGACACACACACGUGAGAGAGAAACGCACGCGCGUGGCGUAACAGCAUCGCAACCAUCCACCAUGGCCACCGAUUGUGAUCGGCACCGAUUUUACAACAACAACAACCCCCACCUCCCCAUCUCAAAUUGGACAGGAGCUGUCCCCCCCUCCCUAACCCCCCCC